UAAACAGGACCUUGUUGCUUUUUGCGA
rnacentral:piRNA from 1 species